UAGACCUUCAAGUUAAAUGGGUU
rnacentral:siRNA from 1 species